AUCCAAUGGCAUUGUACAACAUUGGACCACUGAUAAUAAUAAUGUUAAAAACAUGCCUGGCCAAGUCACUCUAGAAUUAUAAGUUAUCCUAAAUGAUAUACACACCUUAGAGAAAAAAAUAAAAUUACUAAAUUAAAAAAAAACAUAUUUGUGUAAAAUAUGAUAAUCCAAACUUUGUCGUUUUUUUUUUCUUUCAAUAACAGAUUAAGAUAAUAGGAAAAUUUUUAUGAAAAAGUAAAUCCUCCAAAAAAAAAAAAAAAAAAA